CUCGGUCUUGCUGUUGCCGUGAGUGACAGUGCAGAGCUCCGCUCACAGGUCUCCUGCCCAGCGGGUGACAGAGCUGGGGUGUGGGUACCCCGGGCCCUUGCAGGCUUUGUUGAGGAUUGGUCUGGGGAGCAGGGGACAGUGGAAGUAAUUCAUCCGUCUGCAUACUUGCCUAGGGAGCAGGCUCUGAGGCCCAGAGAGAGCCCGUGUGCAGGUGCUGGCGAGUGGGAGUCAGGCUGUGGACCUAAAGGGCUGAGCAGGGCGUCAGCAGUGCCUGCCCCUUCACCUUGAGCCCCUGGUCUCCUUCCUGCGGACGCUGGAGUAACUGCAGCCCAGGAACCUCCCAGCCUCAACGAUGCAGAAAGGGAAGGCAAGAAAAAUAAGGACAAAGAGCAACUUUUGAAGCAAGCUAAUUAUUCAACUUGAAGUUUUGCCUUUAUUCUGCUACGAUGUCCUCCUUGUGUUCUGGGUGCUAAAAUGGUCGUCACAGUCAUUGGCAGGUGGCAGAGUCAUGGGUCUGGUCAUAACUGUUCUGACUCUUACCUCCCAGGCACAUGGGAGGGUUAAUCUUCCCAGUUCCCCUUUCAGUUAGGUCCAGGCAAAUGACGUGUUCUCACCAAUGAAAUGUAAGUCAAAAGAACGAAUCACUUCCCGGCAGAAUUUGUGAGAGUCAGGCAAUCCCACUUUGCAGCCUCAGAGACUGGAAAUGUGUCAGGAUGCAGCCUCUGUCAGCCUGGCCCCCCCAGUGACCACAACCCUGCCAGCCUCCCUGGGCACAUAGUGUGAGUGAAAAAUAAACUUUGGCUGUGAGUCCUGGGGACUUGUUCCUGCAGCCCAGUCUGA